GAUGAACGCUAGCGGCAGGCCUAAUACAUGCAAGUCGAGGGGUAACAGGAAGUGCUUGCACUUCGCUGACGACCGGCGCACGGGUGAGUAACGCGUAUACAAUCUACCUCAUACUAGAGGAUAGCCCGAAGAAAUUUGGAUUAACACUCUAUAGUAUCAUUUAAAGACAUCUUUUUAUGAUUAAAGGUUACGGUAUGAGAUGAGUAUGCGUUCUAUUAGUUUGUAGGUGAGGUAACGGCUCACCUAGACUGCGAUAGAUAGGGGCCCUGAGAGGGGGACCCCCCACACUGGUACUGAGACACGGACCAGACUCCUACGGGAGGCAGCAGUAAGGAAUAUUGGUCAAUGGACGAAAGUCUGAACCAGCCAUGCCGCGUGCAGGAUGAAUGCCCUAUGGGUUGUAAACUGCUUUUAUAUAGGAAGAAAAACUUUCUCGUGAGAAAGCUUGACGGUACUAUAAGAAUAAGGAUCGGCUAACUCCGUGCCAGCAGG
rnacentral:rRNA from 1 species